rnacentral:rRNA from 1 species
GAUGAACGCUGGCGGCGUGCCUAAUACAUGCAAGUCGAGCGAACGGACGAGAAGCUUGCUUUUCUGAUGUUAGCGGCGGACGGGUGAGUAACACGUGGAUAACCUACCUAUAAGACUGGGAUAACUUCGGGAAACCGGAGCUAAUACCGGAUAAUAUUUUGAACCGCAUUGUUCAAAAGUGAAAGACGGUCUUGCUGUCACUUAUAGCUGGAUCCGCGCUGCAUUAGCUAGUUGGUAAGGUAACGGCUUACCAAGGCAACGAUGCAUAGCCGACCUGAGAGAGUGAUCGGCCACACUGGAACUGAGACACGGUCCAGACUCCUACGGGAGGCAGCAGUAGGGAAUCUUCCGCAAUGGGCGAAAGCCUGACGGAGCAACGCCGCGUGAGUGAUGAAGGUCUUCGGAUCGUAAAACUCUGUUAUUAGGGAAGAACAUAUGUGUAAGUAACUGUGCACAUCUUGACGGUACCUAAUCAGAAAGCCACGGCUAACUACGUG